rnacentral:rRNA from 1 species
AUUGAACGCUGGCGGAACGCUUUACACAUGCAAGUCGAACGGCAGCACGGGUGCUUGCACCUGGUGGCGAGUGGCGAACGGGUGAGUAAUACAUCGGAACGUACCCAGGUGUGGGGGAUAACUAACCGAAAGGUUAGCUAAUACCGCAUACGACCUGAGGGUGAAAGCGGGGGACCGUAAGGCCUCGCGCAAUGUGAGCGGCUGAUGUCUGAGUAGCUAGUUGGUAGGGUAAAGGCCUACCAAGGCGACGAUCAGUAGCUGGUCUGAGAGGAUGAUCAGCCACACUGGAACUGAGACACGGUCCAGACUCCUACGGGAGGCAGCAGUGGGGAAUUUUGGACAAUGGGCGAAAGCCUGAUCCAGCCAUUCCGCGUGAGUGAAGAAGGCCUUCGGGUUGUAAAGCUCUUUCGGCAGGGAAGAAACGGCCUAGGUUAAUACCUUGGGCUAAUGACGGUACCUGAAGAAGAAGCACCGGCUAACUACGUGCCAGCCGCCGCAGUAA